GGUGAGACUGUGAGGCUGAGGGCAGCAAGGGAGGGGGAACUGGGGAGGGCAGCCUCACCGCUUCUGCAGAGAUAAAAGCAUCAGAGAUAAAAGUGCAAGACUUCGGUUCCUCGGCCUCCUGCCCCAUCUUUUAUGGAUCUCAGGAACUGCCUGUGAGGCUGGCACAUGGCCCUGUCCAUAUUAGUUGCUGGUUCUCACGGCUGGUCCUACAGACCAUUACUGGUGCAAGCUUUCAUUGGCUCUGUGUCAAACACACACACGUACAAGGAUCUGUCCUGUCCAUCAAAGCCAUGGAUUUACUGAAGUUAUGUGUGUUCAUGGUCCGAAGAGAAACACAUCUGUAGCAGCUGGUUCACCAGAUUUGUGAAGUUUCCCAUACAUUGUGAUUCCCAACCAGACCACUGGCAUACCUCAUGAUUCCC
rnacentral:lncRNA from 1 species